GACGUAGGGCGCAAGCGUUGUCCGGAUUUAUUGGGCGUAAAGCGCUCGUAGGUGGCUUGUCGCGUCGACUGUGAAAACCCGUGGCUCAACCAUGUGGUCUGCAGUCGAUACGGGCAGGCUAGAAUUCGGUAGGGGAGACUGGAAUUCCUGGUGUAGCGGUGAAAUGCGCAGAUAUCAGGAGGAACACCGGUGGCGAAGGCGGGUCUCUGGGCCGAUAUUGACGCUGAGGAGCGAAAGCGUGGGGAGCGAACAGG
rnacentral:rRNA from 1 species